rnacentral:rRNA from 1 species
CAGUCGCCGCGGGAAUACAGAGGGUGCGAGCGUUAAUCGGAUUUACUGGGCGUAAAGCGUGCGUAGGCGGCUAAUUGAGUCGGAUGUGAAAUCCACGAGCUUAACUUGGGAAUUGCAUUCGAUACUGGUUAGCUAGAGUGUGGGAGAGGAUGGUAGAAUUCCAGGUGUAGCGGUGAAAUGCGUAGAGAUCUGGAGGAAUACCGAUGGCGAAGGCAGCCAUCUGGCCUAACACUGACGCUGAGGUACGAAAGCAUGGGGAGCAAACAGGAUUAGAUACCCGUGUAGUCCCUGUCUCUUAUAC